UAACGCGUGAUCCUGCAAUAAAAUCAAUCCACAUUUCCGCCGGAUAGGGAAAAAUGCGCAAUUUGUGCGGGUGAGUUAAUUAUGAUCUGCCUCGCCAGUGCCAGCCACGCUCCGGAUUUCUUUCGCAAUUAACCUCUAAUUGCAUCUCGACUCAUCUGCGCGGAUCGACAAAUAAUUAAGCCCCACGCAGCGCGCGCCUUCAUCACCACAGCAUAUGUCUUAAUCAGAGGAGCCAGUCUCGCGCUAAAGAAAGAACCCAAAGAUGAGGGUCAGUCUAGCACCCUAUGCGAGGCCGGAUCCUUAUUGCAGUGUGCCAAUGAGUGAAAUAUAGACACGCUUGAGGCUCAAAUCUGCCAACGGAGGGGAAAAAAGAAAAGCCUAAGAGGACGGGACAAAUCAUAUCAAGAUUCCUUAAGACUCAAUUACAGUGACCGACAUGCAGCCAUGAGCGAUGCUCUUCACAUCCACCUGCCUCAUAACACG